UACGUAGGGGGCAAGCGUUGUCCGGAUUUAUUGGGCGUAAAGAGCGUGUAGGCGGCUAGAUAGGUCCGUUGUGAAAACUCGAGGCUCAACCUCGAGACGUCGAUGGAAACCAUCUGGCUAGAGUCCGGAAGAGGAGAGUGGAAUUCCUGGUGUAGCGGUGAAAUGCGCAGAUAUCAGGAAGAACACCCGUGGCGAAGGCGGCUCUCUGGUACGUGACUGAC
rnacentral:rRNA from 1 species